UACGUAGGGUGCAAGCGUUAAUCGGAAUUACUGGGCGUAAAGCGUGCGCAGGCGGUUUUGUAAGUCUGUCGUGAAAUCCCUGGGCUCAACCUAGGAAUUGCGAUGGAGACUGCAAGGCUAGAAUCUGGCAGAGGGGGGUAGAAUUCCACGUGUAGCAGUGAAAUGCGUAGAGAUGUGGAGGAACACCGAUGGCGAAGGCAGCCCCCUGGGGUCAAGAUUG
rnacentral:rRNA from 1 species